CUCACCGGGAAGGUCUCGAUCUAGCUAGUAAAACCACGAACCUUUCACCUAAUAUAUCAAGAGUCAACACUCUCCAUCUGCAGUAAUGUACCUUCUGUGAUCUCAUCUCCUUUUGAACCUGCAAUCUCUGUCUGCAAUCUCCUGCCUCUGUACUUUGCACUUAGGCUUACCAGCUGGUCUUCUGUCCAGGCACUGCCUAAGAUCCAGCCUGGAGUAUCUUUCAGCAGCUUGAGCCUUCAAAGGAUACCCCAGGACCUAGAACUGGUUGCCUAAAGAAGACUGUUACAUCUUGCUUUGAGCAGAACUUGAAAAUGUGGCUUUAGUGCAUCCUGAGAUCAGAACCAACUACCCAGAGGGACACUUCACAACUUCACAAGCAACUGUGUGUACAGAUUGUGUGUUUCUCUAUCCCUUUCAUUACAACAGUCCUAUGCUCCACUGCAAGUUGUUUUUGAAACUCCCAGGUAUGCUGAGAGAUGAGCAAGCUGAUGUUUGGAAAGAAAUAAAAGCUACGUUGUGUGUAUAGAUUUGCUGCGUUAUCCUUCUCUGACUCAUUGCUCAUGUAUUAUCUUGAAAAUUGUAAUGGGGGCAGGUCAUAUCUGCUAAAUCUAGAGGCCCAAUUCAUAUUCUGUUGAGCUGGCAACUCUGCAAUUCAUCUGAUGUUCAGCACACAUAUAAUCCUACUUUA